GUGCUGGCUUCAACAGCACAUAUACUAAAAUUGGAACAAUACGGAGAAGAUUAGCAUGGCCCCUGUGCAAGGAUGACAUGCAAAUUCAUGAAGAAGGAGGGUAUUUAU